rnacentral:rRNA from 1 species
GAUGAACGCUGGCAGCGUGCCUAAUACAUGCAAGUCGAGCGAACAGACGAGGAGCUUGCUCCUUUGAUGUUAGCGGCGGACGGGUGAGUAACACGUAGGUAACCUACCUAUAAGACUGGGAUAACUUCGGGAAACCGGAGCUAAUACCGGAUAAUAUUUCGAACCGCAUGGUUCGAUAGUGAAAGAUGGCUUUGCUAUCACUUAUAGAUGGACCUGCGCCGUAUUAGCUAGUUGGUAAGGUAACGGCUUACCAAGGCAACGAUACGUAGCCGACCUGAGAGGGUGAUCGGCCACACUGGAACUGAGACACGGUCCAGACUCCUACGGGAGGCAGCAGUAGGGAAUCUUCCGCAAUGGGCGAAAGCCUGACGGAGCAACGCCGCGUGAGUGAUGAAGGUCUUCGGAUCGUAAAACUCUGUUAUUAGGGAAGAACAAACGUGUAAGUAACUGUGCACGUCUUGACGGUACCUAAUCAGAAAGCCACGGCUAACUACGUG